AGUGAACGCUGGCGGUAGGCCUAACACAUGCAAGUCGAACGGCAGCACAGUAAGAGCUUGCUCUUACGGGUGGCGAGUGGCGGACGGGUGAGGAAUACAUCGGAAUCUACUUUUUCGUGGGGGAUAACGUAGGGAAGCUUACGCUAAUACCGCAUACGACCUACGGGUGAAAGCAGGGGAUCUUCGGACCUUGCGCGAUUGAAUGAGCCGAUGUCGGAUUAGCUAGUUGGCGGGGUAAAGGCCCACCAAGGCGACGAUCCGUAGCUGGUCUGAGAGGAUGAUCAGCCACACUGGAACUGAGACACGGUCCAGACUCCUACGGGAGGCAGCAGUGGGGAAUAUUGGACAAUGGGCGCAAGCCUGAUCCAGCCAUACCGCGUGGGUGUAGAAGGCCUUCGGGUUGUAAAGCCCUUUUGUUGGGAAAGAAAAGCAGCAGGUUAAUACCCCGCUGUUCUGACGGUACCCAAAGAAUAAGCACCGGCUAACUUCGUG
rnacentral:rRNA from 1 species